rnacentral:rRNA from 1 species
AGAACGAACGCUGGCGGCAGGCUUAACACAUGCAAGUCGAGCGCGCCCUUCGGGGUGAGCGGCGAACGGGUGAGUAACGCGUGGGAACGUGCCCCUUUCUUCGGAAUAGCCUCGGGAAACUGGGAGUAAUGCCGAAUACGCCCAUUUGGAGUGAUCCAAUUGGGGAAAGAUUUAUCGGAGAGGGAUCGGCCCGCGUUGGAUUAGGUAGUUGGUGGGGUAAUGGCCUACCAAGCCGACGAUCCAUAGCUGGUUUGAGAGGAUGAUCAGCCACACUGGGACUGAGACACGGCCCAGACUCCUACGGGAGGCAGCAGUGGGGAAUCUUGGACAAUGGGGGCAACCCUGAUCCAGCCAUGCCGCGUGAUCGAUGAAGGCCUUAGGGUUGUAAAGAUCUUUCAGCUGGGAAGAUAAUGACGGUACCAGCAGAAGAAGCCCCGGCUAACUCCGUGCCAGCAGCCGC